rnacentral:lncRNA from 1 species
AUUGUUGGUCUUCGAGCCGGUUUAUCAAUUUGAUAGAAAUUUAAUAAACAGCUUUCCUUGUUUUUGCUUCAUCCUUCUUUUCUGCCAUGCUAUUUACGAAGCUUUUAACCGUAGAACGGGCGGCCAGGUGGGCUACUUCAGUGAACCAGUCGAUCCUCUGUCGCCACUUAGGUUUUAGCUUCGACGUUUUGGGCUUCUGGAGCUUUGCCUGCUGGAGGCGACUUGCAAAACUUUGUUGUAGAACAAGUAGUUAAGUUGGCUACUUCUAUGGAGCACUUGAGUCGUAUGCUCACUUUAGGCUUCAGUUUUGGCUUUGAUGCUCAUAGAGC